GAAAUUCUUCUUUUUUGUUUUUGUUUUUCUUUGGGCUGGGGGGUAUAGGGUCUGGCUCCGUAACCCAGGCUGUGGAGUGCAGUGGUGUGAACAUGACUUACUGCAGCCUGGACCUCCUGGGCUCAAGCUAGCCUCUCGUCUCAGCCACCUGAGUAGCUGGGACUACAUGUGUGUGCCACUGUACCCAGCUAAUAUUUAAAUUUUUUAUGGAGACGAAUCUCACUAUGUUGUCCUGGCUGAUCUUUUUUUUUUUUUUUUUUGAGAUGGAGCCUUGCUCUGUCACUCAGGCUGGAGUGCAGUCGUGUGAUCUUGGCUCACUGCAAUCUCCACCUUCUGGGUUCAAGUGAUU
rnacentral:lncRNA from 10 species